AGUGAACGAGUACUGUGAAGGAAGCGGUGAAAAGCACCCCGGGAGGGGAGUGAAAGAGAACCUGAAACCAUGGACUUACAAGCGGUCAAAGCCUAUUUAUUGGGUGAUGGCGUGCCUUUUGUAGAAUGAGCCUGCGAGUUAUCAUAUGAAGCAAGGUUAAGCAAUAGAAGUUGCGGAGCCGGAGGGAAACCGAGUCUUAAUAGGGCGAAUGAGUUUCAUGUGGUAGACCCGAAUCCGAGUGAUCUAUUUAUGGUCAGGCUGAAGCUUGGGUAAGACCAAGUGGAGGGCCGAACACUAGUCCGCUGAAAAGGGCAGUGAUGAACUGUGAAUAGGGGUGAAAGGCUAAUCAAACUCGGAGAUAGCUGGUUCUCCUCGAAAUGUAUUUAGGUACAGCCUCAAUUGUUUAGUUGGUGGGGUAAAGCACUGAUUAGGCUAGGGCCCGUCACAGGGUACCAAACUUAGUUAAACUAUGAAUACACCAACUCCAAGAUUGGGAGUGAGACUGCGGGCGAUAAGGUUCGUAGUCGAAAGGGAAACAGCCCAGACCGUCAAUUAAGGUCCCAAAAUUAUGCUAAGUGGAGAAGGAAGUGUCACGGCAAAGACAGCUAGGAGGUUGGCUUAGAAGCAGCCAUUCCUUAAAAGAGUGCGUAAUAGCUCACUAGUCGAGUCGUGAUGCGCCGAAAAUGUAACGGGGCUAAGCAUAAUACCGAAAUUACGGAUUCUAUACAUAUCGUAUAGAGUGGUAGAGGAGCAUUCCCUAGGGCGGUGAAGGUAGAUUGAGAAGUCUGCUGGAGUUAUGGGAAGAGAGAAUGCAGGCAUGAGUAACGAAAAGAAAGGUGAGAGUCCUUUCCGCCGAAAAUGUAAGGUUUCCAGGGUAAAGGUUGUCUUCCCUGGGUGAGUCGACCCCUAAGGCGAGGCUGAAAAGCGUAGUCGAUGGGAAGCAGGUUAAUAUUCCUGCACUUCUGAUGUGUUCGAUGGAGUGACACAGGAGGAGAAUAUCCGCCACUGAUUGGAUUGUGGUCUAAGCAUCAAGCUGAUUGAAAGAGUGUAGGCAAAUCCGCACUUUUAGGUAAGAUGUGAAGGGGAAGGCUGUAAUAGGCUAGAAGGGAUAGGAUUCAUACUGUCAAGAAAUAACUUCUAAGAAUGGCACAUUGGGAAUCGUACCGUAAACCGACACAGGUACAUGAGAAGAGUAUUCUAAGGCGUACGAGAGAACUAGAGUUAAGGAACUCGGCAAAAUACAUACGUAACUUCGGGAUAAGUAUGACCACAGAAAUGUGGUGACACAAGAGAGGUUCGGGCGACUGUUUACCAAAAACACAGGUCUCUGCUAACUCGCAAGAGGAAGUAUAGGGGCUGACGCCUGCCCGGUGCUGGAAGGUUAAGAGGAUUGGUUAGCUAGCAAUAGCGAAGCUAAGAAUUGAAGCCCCAGUAAACGGCGGCCGUAACUAUGACGGUCCUAAGGUAGCGAAAUUCCUCGUCGGGUAAUUUCCGACCCGCACGAAUGGCGUAACGAUCCGGACACUGUCUCAACUCUAGACUCGGUGAAAUUGAAGUAUCGGUGAAGAUGCCGAUUACCCACAGUUAGACGAAAAGACCCCGUGAACCUUUACUGUAACCUGAUAUUGAGAUUUGGGCAAUCAUGCGUAGGAUAGGUGGGAGACUAUGAAGUUUGGGCUUUGGCCUGAAUGGAGUCGUUGGUGAAAUACCACCCUUGGUUGUUUAGAUUUCUAACUGGUGCCAUCAACUGGUACUAGGACAUUGUCAGGCGGGCAGUUUGGCUGGGGCGGUCGCCUCCUAAAGAGUAACGGAGGCGCGCGAAGGUUACCUUAUCUUGGUUAGAAAUCAAGAAGUAAGUGCAAAGGCAGAAGGUAGCUUGACUGCGAGACGCAACAGGUCGAGC
rnacentral:rRNA from 1 species